rnacentral:rRNA from 1 species
GUCUACAGCCAUACCACCCUGAACACAACCGAUCUUGUCUGAUCUCAGAAGCUAAGCAGGGUAGGGCUUGGUUAGUACUUGGAUGGGAGAAAUUAUAAGGACAAUUCC